GGUUCCAUAACUCAGUUGGUUAGAGUGUGGUGCUAAUAAACAGUCGCCUGACCGUUUGUGACGCCAAAGUCGAGGGUUCGACCCCCUCUGGGACCA
rfam:TPA: Aspergillus nidulans FGSC A4 chromosome V